GAGAAGGAGUCAGCUCCCAGCUCCGAGACUUCAGGCGAGGGUUUUGGAGCUCACCAUCUCGCUAGGAGGUGGCAGCCCAGGUGGCCACAGGCAUUUGCCUUUGUUCUCCAGAGCUAAGGGUUGGGCAUAAACCUCUGAAGCUCUGAACAGGGGUGGAGAGGGGUAGAGGAUUGGAGAUGGCAUUUCUGGAGUAGAAGAGGGUUUCCCCUCUAGACCCCAAACAGGGUCUUGGCCCAGACCUGCCCUGUGUUCAAGGGCCGCAACUCAGCCGAAGGGGUAGAAUGUCUCUCCCCAUGCUACCCCCGGGAGCCUCAACACAGUGAGAGCCAAGAGCCCAACUCCUGCGCCUGCGUCCAAGGCCCGGCACAAUCCAGCUGCAACCUGGCUUCCCGCGUGCCUGGGCCUCCCCUCCGUGGACAGCCCCCACCCCGUCCAUCGACUGUCCCAUAGAUGCUGUGUGUGGCCCCACCUCCAAGCCUAAGCAGCCACCCCUCCUCCACCUGAAAUACCGUCAAGAAGCCUCACUUCUUCAGAAAAGCCUUUCCUGAAACAUGCUGGGACAGUGGGGUGGGGGCUGGUUCUGAGACCCAGAAGCCCAUCUGGGAAAUCCCCCGGGGUUUGUGGAUUCCCCGGAAAGGAGCCUGUCCUAGACCAUGGGCUCUGUGCCCCGUGGUUGCUGAAGGAGCAAGUGAGGGAUGAAUGCACUCACCUCUAAGUUCCCACUCCACUCACAGAGCUCAGAGCUACCUUUUAUUUUAACGGUCUUUGUAUGAAUCUAUAACAAGAUAUUAAACCUGAAGUUUCCAAGAAGGCAUGUCGUUGCUGCACACCAAACCAAACCACAUGCAGAAUUUACAAAGGAAAUGGCCCCAAGAAAGGUCCUCCGAAGAGGGGUGGUUAGAGGUGGCAUGAAGACAAUGCUUGUGAGGAGGCUAAUUUUGGAGAAAGCUGCGUGGUGAGCUCCGUUCGCUUCCCACCCCAGGGGAGGGCUGGCUGCCUGACCCCUCACCUGCAGCCUAGUGUGGGCUUUCAGCCGCCCUUGGAGAGCUUCAGCCACCCCUGCAGUUGUGGAGCAUAGCAGUCUGGGUGUGACUCCUGCCCAGGAAACCAAGCAGGUGACAGACGGGCUGACUGUUGGAGGCUGAGACACCAGGGUGCUAGACGAGCCAGAAACCCCAGAGACUAGUGGGGCAAUGGACACUGCCAUUUUGGAUCAAACUUACCUAGAGGUGUAGCUGAGGGAACACUGGAUUCAUCCUCAAGAAACCCAGAUUUCAGUCUUAACCGGAGCAAAGCAUGGCUUGCCACGCGGUGCCACAUCCACACCCAGGAUCCCAACCAGCAAACCCUGGGCCACCGAAGCAGAACGUGCACACGUAACCGCUGUACCACCGGGCCAGCCGCUGGACCACUUCUCAUCAGUACCUGGGCAAAACCACAGCGAACAAGCCCCUCAACUUUGUGAAUAGCAGGAGGCCAGUGAGGACAGGGGAUAUGUUGAGAGACACACUCAGGAUCCCCGAACAUCCUAACCUGCUGGAGCAACAGCCUGGACCUCACGAGGUAAAACAGACAGGGCUUAACGGAGCCAUCCGGGCUUGGCUCCAAGGUACCGACAGUACAAGGACAGGGUGGGGAGGUGGCGGCUUAGCAGAAGCAUGUGUGAAUCAAACUGAGGGUUUUCACUGACAGCCAGCUCCACGUGAGGCAAAUGAAAAGACUGCCAAAAAAAUGGACAGACUCUUAGGUGGCUGAAUUGAAGUUGAGUACUGAGCCCAGUGAUUCUCCAUCUUGAUAUCAGUCAGAAUUGCCUGGGAAGGUGUGGUAACACUGCGUAUUCCUUGCUGCACUCAGAUCCUCUGAAUCAGGACCUGGGAUGGGUGGGUGAGGAAAAGGGAAGGAAGGUGAGGAGUAUGGAAUUCCAAGGAGCUUCACUCUUGGUUCCAAUGUGCAGCCAAGGACCUAGAACCAAGGAAGACAGUCGCGUCCUCAUUCUUGACAUGUCAGACCAUGCCUAAUGUAUUCAGGGCCUUCGAUUUAGGGUGUUUUACCCUGAGGAAAUGCACACACUGGAGGAGAUUUGGUUGGGGGGCCAGGAUGGAGGAUGCACGUAACACUGUGAGGACUGGUGGAGGGAACCAAGCCAUAGAAGACACAGGUGGCCAGGAGGCCCACCUUCAGAGGUGUGAGACUUGUUCUCUGGGGUCCCAAAUUUAGAGUCUGAGGUGACAAGUGACUGCCUUAGGUCAGGUUUCUCAUGAAAUAUUAUGAGACAGAGAUUGCUGGCAGGAAGUUUAUUGGGAGGUCCUCUCAGAAACAACAUGACACAUCUGAGGGAGUGAAGGAACCAGGAUUGAGUGGAGGAAGAAAUUGAUCAACACUGCAGGCACAACUAAGGACGCCUCCACUGGGAGUUCUGAGGUUGGGAUGACCCUUCAGAUCUGGCCCCAACUGAGGCAAGAGGGCUGGAGAUUUGAACCCCCACGUUGACCAGGCAGAUGAUCCCUAGGGAGGGGUCAUGAAAUCGAGCAAGGCAGCUGCCUUUGGCAGCUGAAGGAAAUGCCCAGGGAGAGACUCAGCUGUGAGCCAUCAGCAGCCAACAGUCCUGGCAACUUAAGCAUAAGCUUAGUGGUCUCAAAGGCAGGAUCUGGGUGGUGCACCAUAGCAACCACAACAGUACCCCUUUUGCAAGGCUCAGACCUACUUGCUUCAUAUGGUACGCUCACUCUACCUGGGAAGAGCUCCUCCAGAAUUCUGGCGAUGUCUUUCUCUGGGAAACUUACAGGAAGGUAGAUAGGAUGAAAUAUAGCCCCCACUACUAUAGCGCGUCUUGGUGUCACAACUGAUAUUCAGCAUUGCCCCCAGCCCAUUACCCAUUCAGAUCCUCUUUCCUGAGGGGUCUGAGCUCCUAAUGACCAUGCCCUUCUCAAACCAUGCUGUUGAAUUUGUUCACUUACUAUCAAAAUGGGGCAAAUGAAUACCAAGAGACACCCUAGUGGGUCACCUGCAUGCCAGACAUAUUCUUUCCUGACCCCAUUAUGUAGUCACAGCCCCAUCUCCUCCAAAGGAUCAAGAUCAAGUACUCCUGCCAGGAAGUGACUCCUUUUUUUGCCUGCUGAUCUCUUGGCACAAGGAGUCUGAAGGACAGAAAGCAGCCACACUUAAGUUUAUGGGAUUCUUGUUCUGUUCUCUGGCAGAAGUGUUCUGCCUCUGGGACCAGAUUCUCUAAUCCCAGAGAGCCUGGAACCGUAAGAACAGGAACUGCAAAUUCCCCCAAAAGGGUCACCAGGAGUGAUGGUAAGUGGGGUUACUCCUUCUUCAACCCCUUGCUUCCUAGACCUCUGUUUUCUACCUGUUGGGCCAGAGCACCAUAUUAUAGCUGUUGAAUAGGGUGCGUUCUUCAUCCCGGAGCGUGGUGUCCCAUCAUCCCUAAAAUGGUGCUUCAGCUGCACCUUGGAAAGGCUGUUCUUUCACUCUAUCAGCUCUAUUCACCAGGGGACAGCAAAGUAUAUGAUAGGCCCCCAAGACUCCGUGAUCAUUUGCCUACUCUUUUGCUAUAAAGUGGGACUCUUGGUUUGAUGUGAUGUUGUAUGAGAUCCCAUGUCAAUGAAUCAAAUUCUUUAAGUCCUCAGAGAGUGGUGCUGGUUGAGGCCUUUAGUGGGAAAGAGAAAUCCAAAUCCAGAAUAUAUGCUGAUUCAAGUCAAGAUGAGUCACCAACCCUUCCGAGUAGAACAGGUCUAAUGUAGUCAACUCAUUACCAAGUGGCUGCUUGGCCAUUGGUUGGUGGCAGAUUGGAGAUCUGGCAGCAACAACAGAUCAGCCUUGGUGUGGGAGCCCAUUCUGUUGGACCCACCCCUGCCACCGUAUACAAUAUGCCUGUAAGUCACCUCCAUCUAUGCCAACAUGGCCACUUUAUUCAUAUGGCCAUUGUGCCAGCACAAGUGGUCAAUGACAGAGGCUGGCUAAUAUCAGCUAGCCAAGUCACUCUAUCUACUUGGUUAUUUAGUGUCUCCUCCAUGGUGGAUGCUCUCUGGUGGGCAUUAACGUGUAAUAUAUAGACCACACUUUGUGCCCACUCCCAUAGAUACAUCCACGUGCCUCUUCCCAAGACCUUCUUGUUCCCAAUCUUCCAAUGUUUCUCUUUCAAGGCCUCUAACCAACUAAUCAAGCCAUUUGCUACAGCCCAUGAGCCUGUAUGUAUUUUUACUUAGGGCCACUCUAUUGGGGGGCCAUGAUGAUGAUUCAGGUCUCCAGAUAUCAAUAUCAACCCAAACACUCCAUGACUUUAAAAUGUUUGGUUAUUCUACUUUCCGCAGUGUUCAGUGACCCAAGUAAAUGGUCACAUGACCCUUUGGGGAAGGAGUAUGGAAAUCAUUAUGGUAUUGCCAUAGUAUUACAGAAGACUUCCUCCUGGGGACCCGACCUCUCCUUCAGUCAACAACAGUUCUGGGCCCAAAAAUUGAACUGGGUCUGGAAACUGGACAAAACAUUAUAAUUGUUUAUUGGAGCAACUGCCGUUAACCUCCUGGUCUUUCAUUCUUGAUUUCUUUUCAUUGUACAGCUCAGCAAUUCUGUGUGUGAUCUGCAGAUCUCCAGGGAUUCCUGAGACCAUUUCAGGGGUUGUGCAAGUUCAAAAUAUUAGCAUAAUAAUACUAAGAUGUUAUUUGUUUUUUUAACUGUGUUGACAUUUGCACUGGUGGUGCAAAAUCGAUGGUGGAUAAAUCUUCUAGCACCUUAACAAACCAAGGCAGUGGCACCUACCUGCUCUGGUAGUUCAUUGUGACAGAAAGAAACAAGGAAGAGAAGGAAGGAAGGAGGGAGAUGAGGAAGGAAGGAAGGAAGAAAAAAAAGAAAAGAGUCAGUUCUGUUUAAGAAUGUCCUUAACAGAGCAAUAAAAAUUGUUAAAUUUUAUUAAAUCAUGACCCUUAAUUAAAUGUCUUUUUAAUAUUGUCUGUGAUUAAAUGGAAAGUACUGUACUGUUCACAGAAGUAUAAUGGCUCUCAAGGAAAAGCACUAGUGCAAUUGAGUUACAAGGUAAACUAGUCACUUUUUUCAUGACACAUCGUUUUCAUUUGAAAGAAUAACUGACAGAUAAACUAUGGUUAUUCAGACUUGGUUAUCUGGCACACGUUUUCUCAAAUUCAAACCAAGUAAGCCUGUCAUUUUGAGGAAAACAAUUGAUAGUAUUUAUUGCCGAUGAUAAAAUUUGAGCUUUUAAGCGAAAAAAAAAAGGGGGGGUGGUGGCUGGCCCCGUGGCCGGGUGGUUAAG